rnacentral:piRNA from 1 species
UGAGAGCCUCUUGUUGAACCCCUU